rnacentral:rRNA from 1 species
UACGAGGGGGGCAAAUGUUGUUCGGAAUCACUGGGCGUAAAGGGAGCGUAGGCGGGUUCUUAAGUAAGGUGUUUAAUCCCGGGGCCCAACCCCGGACCGGCACUUUAAACUGGGAAUCUUGAAUAGUGGAGAGGUCGGUGGAAUUGGGGUGUAGCGGUGGAAUGCGUAGAGAUCCCCAAGAACACCAGUUGCGAAGGCGGCCGACUGGACACAUAUUGACGCUGAGGCUCGAAAGCAUGGGGAGCAAACAGGG